AACUUUCCUGAGAGGCGGCUGCUGGAGCUUUUAAAGGAUGGAGGGCUGGAACGUCACGGAAUUUACAGGACCAGUUAUAUGGCUGCUUUGCGUAGCUUGUUCAGAACUUGGCCCGAAGACUUCCUUUCACAAUAUCCUGGUGGCAUGGUAUGGAGAGAGGCCCUACUCCCUCGCCCACCUCGAUUACUAAAAGCCUGGUCCUGAGGGGUGGAGAGUCAAAGUCACCAGGAAAUAGAGGGUUCUCAGCCAGCGGUAUUGUGCUCACCUGUAUCAGGAAGUGGAGCUUCUGAGUUAUCAUUAAAGUGAAGAAAUGUCAUUAUUUGUUUGAACCUUCUUCUCGUCAUAAUCUUUGGAAAGGUUAUUAUAUUCAGUAGUUACACAUGACACACCUGUAAAGUCUUCUAAUUUUCGUGAAAUGUGAAGUCUUCUAAUUUUCAAUCUACUCUUCUGUAGAAGCAAAGGAGCAUUCUCCAGCACCAGCACAAGUCCUGGACCGAUAGAUCUGACUCUACUGGGAAAUUGCUAAAGCUUGCCCAGGCCAUCUCGAGGCAAGAUGUUUCUUUACACCUGCUCUGCCCAACUGUGCCGAAUUUGGAGAAUCUUAACACUUUGGGGGUGUCAAGACCCUCUUAGAAUCUGAUAGAAGUUGACACCCUUUCCCCACCUCCACACCCUGAAUG